rnacentral:rRNA from 1 species
GAUGAACGCUGGCGGCGUGCUUAAUACAUGCAAGUCGAGCGAAAGGACGAGAAGUUUGCUUCUUUGAUGUUAGCGGCGGACGGGUGAGUAACACGUGGAUAACUUACCUAUAAGACUGGGAUAACUUAGGGACACCGUAGCUAACACCGGAUAAUAUUUUGAACCGCAUGGUUAAAUAGUGAAAGACGGCGUUGCUGUCACUUAUAGCUGCAUCCACGCUGCAUUAGCUAGUUGGUAAGGUAACGGCUUACUAAGGCGACGAUGCAUAUCCGACCUUAGAGAUUGGUCGGCCACACGGGAACUUAAACAGGGUCCAUGCUCCUGCGGGAGGCAGCAGUAGCCACUGUUCCGCAAUGGGCGAGAGCCUGACAGAGCAACACCGCGUCAGUGAUAAACGUCUUGCGGUCGUAAAGCUCUGUUAUUGGGGAAGAACAUAUGUGUAAGGAGCUGUACACAUCUUGACGUUACCGAGUCAGAAAGCCACGGCUAACUACGUG